rnacentral:rRNA from 1 species
AGAGUUUGAUCCUGGCUCAGGACGAACGCUGGCGGCGUGCUUAACACAUGCAGGUCGAACGGAAAGGCCCUUCGGGGUACUCGAGUGGCGAACGGGUGAGUAACACGUGGGUGAUCUGCCCUGCACUUUGGGAUAAGCCUGGGAAACUGGGUCUAAUACCGAAUAGGACCGCGCGCUUCAUGGUGUGUGGUGGAAAGCUUUUGCGGUGUGGGAUGGGCCCGCGGCCUAUCAGCUUGUUGGUGGGGUAAUGGCCUACCAAGGCGACGACGGGUAGCCGGCCUGAGAGGGUGACCGGCCACACUGGGACUGAGAUACGGCCCAGACUCCUACGGGAGGCAGCAGUGGGGAAUAUUGCACAAUGGGCGCAAGCCUGAUGCAGCGACGCCGCGUGAGGGAUGACGGCCUUCGGGUUGUAAACCUCUUUCACCAGGGACGAAGCGCAAGUGACGGUACCUGGAGAAGAAGCACCGGCCAACUACGUGCCAGCAGCCGCGGUAAUACGUAGGGUGCGAGCGUUGUCCGGAAUUACUGGGCGUAAAGAGCUCGUAGGUGGUUUGUCGCGUUGUUCGUGAAAACUCACAGCUUAACUGUGGGCGUGCGGGCGAUACGGGCAGACUAGAGUACUGCAGGGGAGACUGGAAUUCCUGGUGUAGCGGUGGAAUGCGCAGAUAUCAGGAGGAACACCGGUGGCGAAGGCGGGUCUCUGGGCAGUAACUGACGCUGAGGAGCGAAAGCGUGGGGAGCGAACAGGAUUAGAUACCCUGGUAGUC